GACGAACGCUGGCGGCGUGCUUAACACAUGCAAGUCGAACGGUGAAAGCGGAGCUUGCUCCGCUGGAUCAGUGGCGAACGGGCGAGUAACACGUGGGCAACCUGCCCUUCACUUCGGGAUAACUCCGGGAAACCGGGGCUAAUACCGGAUAUGACCUCUGCGGGCAUCCGCGGAGGUGGAAAGCUUUUCGGUGAAGGAUGGGCCCGCGGCCUAUCAGCUUGUUGGUGAGGUAGUGGCUCACCAAGGCGACGACGGGUAGCCGGCCUGAGAGGGCGACCGGCCACACUGGGACUGAGACACGGCCCAGACUCCCACGGGAGGCAGCAGUGGGGAAUUUUGGACAAUGGGGGCAACCCUGAUCCAGCAAUGCCGCGUGAGUGAAGAAGGCCUUCGGGUUGUAAAGCUCUUUUGUCAGGGAAGAAACAGCAGCUCUAACACAGUCUGCGAAUGACGGUACCUGAAGAAUAAGCACCGGCUAACUACGUGCCAGCAGCCGCGGUAA
rnacentral:rRNA from 1 species